UACGUAGGUGGCAAGCGUUGUCCGGAUUUACUGGGCGUAAAGAGCGCGCAGGCGGCCUGAUCAGUCGAAUGUGAAAGCCCCCGGCUUAACUGGGGAGGGUCAUUCGAUACUGUCAGGCUCGAAGGCAGGAGAGGGAAGCGGAAUUCCCGGUGUAGUGGUGAAAUGCGUAGAUAUCGGGAGGAACACCAGUGGCGAAGGCGACUUCCUGGCCUGUUCUUGACGCUGAGGCGCGAAAGCUAGGGUAGCAAACGGG
rnacentral:rRNA from 1 species